GACGCAGUAGGAUAGGCGAAGCGUGCUGUUGGAGUGCACGUCCAAGCAGUGAGAUUGAGUGUUAGGCAAAUCCGGCACUCUUAAGAUUGAGCUGUGAUGGGGAGAGGAACUUGUUCCUCGAGUCGUUGAUUUCACACUGCCGAGAAAAGCCUCUAGCUAGAAUAACGGUGCCCGUACCGCAAACCGACACAGGUAGUCAAGAUGAGAAUUCUAAGGUGAGCGAGCGAACUCUCGUUAAGGAACUCGGCAAAAUGACCCCGUAACUUCGGGAGAAGGGGUGCUCUUUGAGGUUCACGCUUCGAAGAGCCGCAGUGAAUAGGCCCAAGCGACUGUUUAUCAAAAACACAGGUCUCUGCUAAACCGUAAGGUGACGUAUAGGGGCUGACGCCUGCCCGGUGCUGGAAGGUUAAGAGGAGUGGUUAGCGCAAGCGAAGCUACGAAUCGAAGCCCCAGUAAACGGCGGCCGUAACUAUAACGGUCCUAAGGUAGCGAAAUUCCUUGUCGGGUAAGUUCCGACCCGCACGAAAGGCGUAACGAUUUGGGCACUGUCUCAACGAGAGACUCGGUGAAAUCAUAGUACCGGUGAAGAUGCCGGUUACCCGCGACAGGACGGAAAGACCCCGUGGAGCUUUACUGUAGCCUGAUAUUGAAAUUCGGUACAGUUUGUACAGGAUAGGUAGGAGCCUUAGAAGCGUGAGCGCUAGCUUACGUGGAGGCAUUGGUGGGAUACUACCCUAAUUGUAUUGGAUUUCUAACCCGCAGCACUUAUCGUGCUGGGAGACAGUGUCAGGCGGGCAGUUUGACUGGGGCGGUCGCCUCCUAAAGAGUAACGGAGGCGCUCAAAGGUUCCCUCAGAAUGGUUGGAAAUCAUUCAUAGAGUGUAAAGGCAUAAGGGAGCUUGACUGCGAGACCUACAAGUCGAGCAGGGUCGAAAGACGGACUUAGUGAUCCGGUGGUUCCGCAUGGAAGGGCCAUCGCUCAACGGAUAAAAGCUACCCCGGGGAUAACAGGCUUAUCUCCCCCAAGAGUUCACAUCGACGGGGAGGUUUGGCACCUCGAUGUCGGCUCAUCGCAUCCUGGGGCUGUAGUCGGUCCCAAGGGUUGGGCUGUUCGCCCAUUAAAGCGGUACGCGAGCUGGGUUCAGAACGUCGUGAGACAGUUCGGUCCCUAUCCGUCGUGGGCGUAGGAAAUUUGAGAGGAGCUGUCCUUAGUACGAGAGGACCGG
rnacentral:rRNA from 1 species